rnacentral:rRNA from 1 species
GAUGAACGCUGGCGGCGUGCCUAAUACAUGCAAGUAGAACGCUGAAGGAGGAGCUUGCUCUUCUGGAUGAGUUGCGAACGGGUGAGUAACGCGUAGGUAACCUGCCUGGUAGCGGGGGAUAACUAUUGGAAACGAUAGCUAAUACCGCAUGACAACAGUUAUUGCAUGAUAACUGUUUAAAAGGGGCAACUGCUCCACUACCAGAUGGACCUGCGUUGUAUUAGCUAGUUGGUGAGGUAACGGCUCACCAAGGCGACGAUACAUAGCCGACCUGAGAGGGUGAUAGGCCACACUGGGACUGAGACACGGCCCAGACUCCUACGGGAGGCAGCAGUAGGGAAUCUUCGGCAAUGGACGGAAGUCUGACCGAGCAACGCCGCGUGAGUGAAGAAGGGUUUCGGAUCGUAAAGCUCUGUUGUAAGAGAAGAACGAGUGUGAGAGUGGAAAGUUCACACUGUGACGGUAUCUUACCAGAAAGGGACGGCUAACUACGUG